GCAAACUUGGUCAUUUAGAGGAAGUAAAAGUCGUAACAAGGUUUCCGUAGGUGAACCUGCGGAAGGAUCAUUACCAAAAAACAAGCUCUUUGCUUGGGGGUUCCCCCCUUAGCAAGGUUCUAAACCCUUUGUGAACCAAAAACCUUUACUGCUUCGGUAGCAGGUCUUAGUUAACCGUCAGCCUACCGGUGGCAACCAAACUUAAACUCUUGCGUUUAACUUAAUUGUCGACCCAUAUUUUUUUGAAUAAAAUCAAAACUUUCAACAACGGAUCUCUUGGUUCUCGCAUCGAUGAAGAACGCAGC
rnacentral:misc_RNA from 1 species